UUUUCAUUUUUGGUUUUGCAUCUCCUUGCUUAUUUUUCUUUCACUUUGGUUUUACACGUUGAAAAGAUGGUUGAGAUGAAGUGUGAGUUUUGUAUUGUGUUGGUUUUUGUUUUGAUUUUGCUUUUGUUGUGCUUCAUGGUAGAAUGCUUGUUUUGUGUUUGAUAAAAUGCUGCAACCAAACUUUAUGACACAAUGCCUGUUUUCUGUUUGAUAAAAUGCUUCAAUCAACCUUUAUGGUACAGUGCUUAAUGUUUGUCUGAUAAAAUGCUUGAACCAAAUUUUAUUUACUUCUCUAAUCUCAGAAAUGUGAUUCUCCUGCAUCUAUGCUCUUAAAAAUGUUUUUCGAUUCUGCAAAAUGAACAGAAUUGUUUGUUCGGAAUGCGAUUAUGUGUAAAUUUUAGAUUCGAUCUUAACUAAAAUGUUGGAAACUUAGGAUUGAAGAAAUGGAUAUUAGUUCCUCAAUGAUACAGAAGUCGGUCUGUUUCCCGUCACGCACAACCAAACUAUUGCUGCUUUAGCUCCGACAGUGGGUGGCUAUCAGAGCUAUUAGAAACCUGUAAUAGUGCAAAAGUUCACUUGGCAAUGUAUGUGUUUAGUUGUUUGGCUGAUUUAUGUGUGUAUAAGCUUCCCAUUGCAUAGGAGAAAUGUAACUUUUCAUGUUUGAAGCAAUAUAAAAACUACAAGGAAUCUCCACCUUCAGAUUCAUAGGACAAAAGUUCACUACUGGAUGUAGUUGUUGAAAUUUUAUUAACUUUGAUCUUUAUGGUUCCUCACCACUAGAAAUUUUGGUGUUAGGUUAUCAUGACGAUCUGUAUCAUACCUAACGAACACGUGGACCUGUAGCAAAUAUAUGAGGCAUAUUUGGGUUAUUCUGUAUUACAAAAUGCCAAAAGCUUGUACAAAACUUGCAAAAAGAAAUAAAGAAAAGUCAAAUAUCUUCCCAUUAUUACUAUUUUUUUUUUUUUGUCUAAAUCUGUUAUGUCUUUUGUAGGUUCCAUGUUAAUAAGAUGUCUUCAGCCCAUGUUUAUGCCGGGCUGCUCAUAGGUCACUAUCGAUGACAUGAGUGAAGGUUUAUUGGAAGAUUGUGCUAAACUUGUCAAAGAAAAUUCAAUUCAAGGUAAAAUAUCGCGAUUAAUUAUUCCUAGAUUAGGAUACUGCUACUAGAGUUAUUGUCGAGGGUCUGUGGCCGGAUCAGACAAUUGUUUUCUAUCAGCAAUGUAACAUGUGGUUUACAUUUCAAGAGAUUUAUUUGAUCAAUUGUUGUUUCUCAGGAGUACAAAGGAAACAAAUAAAUAUAAAAUAAUUUGAGAGAGGUGCUAUAUGUCACGAAUACACUUCCUCACUAAUUUCACAAACUCUCUAUUUUUCUAUUUUUUAUUUUUAUACCUGAAAAUAUUUUGAAAAAUAGAACUGCUAGGGCGUAGUAUGUAUCGAUCAUCACGCAACCUCAGCUGCAUAUAUUAAAGAUCCUUAGUGUGUGUCUGCCAAAAAAUAUCACAGUUCAUGAAAACUUGGAUCCAAUGCUAUGAAGUUUGAAUUGUGAAUUUAUAAUGUUUUUUGUUUUCAGAUUUACUUCUAUGAGAAAUUACUUUUGUUUUCUUUCUGAACGUAAUUGUAUAUAUGCUCAUCAUGUUAUGUGAGCAUGACAAAUGAAUAAGUUAUUAAGCUAUUGAUUGUGGAGUGCAUUGCAUUGCUUGUCGUCGCUUUGCCAUGACUUAUAUUACUUGAACAAAUUCUUAUGUCCUACUUAUUGAAGUUCUCUUUGGUAGCAUGGGUUUUGCAUAUUUGUUGCAUACUUUUCUUUGUAGUUACUUUUCUGAAUAUAUAAAAUCAAUAAAAUCUCUGUAAAACAUCUUUAUUUAUCUGUUUUAGUAUUUUUCCCUCAUCUUUAUUUAUAUGCUGCAUUGUGGUUGUAAUGCAUUUGUUUUUCUUCUGAUAUACUGGUUUUGAUUUUGAAGUCCACCGAUGUUUGAACUAUGUUGAAUACAUUGAUUAAGAGUAUAUUUAGAACUAAUUAAGGAAGAAGUUAUAUGAGCGAUUGAGCCUUAUUCUUACAACCCUGUAGGUUUAGUUUCCCUUAGAAAGUUAUUUAUUUUGGUAGGUUAGCUGAAUGGAGGAGUUAAUACUACAAUUAACCGUGUACAAAUAUUUUGUGGUUUAUUUUAGGUUUAGUUUUUAAUAAGAUAUUAAGCAGCGGACGGAAUAAUUUCCUCAUGAGUAUAUCUUCCCCACAGAGCAAAGCAUAGCACAUCAAGAGAAAAAAAGGCAGGGACAAGGUAAAAUUUGCUAGGUCAAUAACAAAAUGGUUUNCUCAAUGAAACUCUUUGGUGUGAUUUUUGAACUAGGUGAGCUCUCCUUUUAUAGGGAGAGUUUGUAACUAAUUUGGAGAAACUUAAGAAUUAAGUAAACUUAAAAAUUAAGCAACCCAUAUUAGCUCAAGUAACAAACUAAUCGGAUAAGUUCAAAAAGAAACAAAUGUUGGAACAAAAUGUGUUUAACAUCAAACCUUAAGAGUUUUGAUGAUAACAAAGUAUUAAAAAUUGUCAAUUGGAUAUGCUAAUAUUUGUUCAAGCGUACAUGACUAUAGACAAAACUUGAUAUCUUAAAAAGGUCCUGGAAGAACAAUAAAGAGCAAAGGCAUCAACAAAAAGAGAAGCUUAACGCGCCUGAAGAAAACUGCUCCUGAAGUUAAAGCGCUCCUGAUGACGUCAUCAUAAGCAAGUUCAUCAUAAGCUAGUUCAUCAGAAGCAAGUUUAUCAGAAGCUGUGAAUCACCAGAAGCUGCAGUUCAUCAGGAGAUGCAACUUAAAGUUUCAAAAAGUUGUUCAACGGAUUCAAACUCGCCUAAAGAUUGCAGAAGACUAGAGAAGUGAAGCAACGACUAUUUUGGAGGGUUUUGAAAGCAUUGGAUGCUUGUUCUUCAAAGAGCGUUGACAAAGUAUGUUCGAACGAAGUGUACAACCACUACCUCCACUACUCUGUUUUGUCUCUGCUACAAGACAAGAAAAACAGCUAUGCCUGCAACAAUGUUCCUACACAUUGGGAACACGUUUGAAAUUGAUCCUUCAUAGGACAAUAACCAAAUCAGGCAAAGGAUCAUUAGUGAUUGAUCAAAAGUUUCAAACGACUCUAUUUUGAAUGUGCUGGCAAUUCAACGUCUCUCACACACUUCUAUUUAAAGGAGUUAAGACUCAGAGUUCCGAGAACAAUACCAAGAAUUAAAAGCGCCAAAACUCUGCUGAAAUUGUUUUGCAUUCAAGGUUCACUUAGAAUUUCUUAUCAAAGCUCAUAUCUUAGAAAUUCUAGACUCUUUAGAGUCUGUAUCUGAAUUGUAUUGUGAACACCACUGAUUGUAUAUCAAGUGUUCAAACUCAAACAUAAUCUUUGUAAUUCUGUUUUAAUUGAGAAGUCUCUUGCAGUUGUGCUUGAGCAAUAGAAGUCUCUUGAUUGUGUUUAGGAGCAUAGGAAGUCUCUUGCAGUUGUGAUUGAGCAUUUGAAGUCUCGUACUAAGUUUAGUAUUGAACAAUUGUAAUCAGAUAUUAUUUUUAGUGAACUUCUCUUGGAAGUGCAAGGGGGAUAGGACUGACUUCCCGUUUGUGGAAGGAACCUGUAUAAAUUGCUUUGUGUCUUUCUUUCUUCUCUCUCUCUCUCUCUCUGUUUUUAUCCGCUGCAAUUAGUUCUGAACAUCACUUAUGAAGUAAAACUUUAUCUGCUUCUAAACAGUGUUUUCAGAUAGGAGAAAAAGAAGAAAAAACAAACACAAUUCAACCCCCCUUCUUGUGUUUUUCUCACCUUCAACAAACCCACAAGAUUAGAUGAAACAAACUAAUGAAAGAAAGAUAAGAAAUUCAGUUGGAUUCUCAAUCUUAUCACAACAAACAUAACCUAAAAUUGUGAGAAGUGAUAUCCAUGAAUAAAGAAUAAUAAUAAUAAUAAUUUUCAUCAUUAUCAUGUAUUUAAAAUUAAAUACCACUAUUUAAACACUACUAACGUGUUUGUUCUAUUUUACGUGGGACCUCCACACUCUAUUUUUUCAAUUCACACAACACUAGAUCAAAGUUUAAUAACUUGGUGUUUAAUCUUCCAACCUUCCAAUUUCUUUCCAUCUUCACACCAAUGUUCCAACACAUGUUUCGAAGAGAAAAUGGAACUAACGAAGGGUUCCCGAAAGCCUGCAAAGCACUCCAGGAGUCCCCUCCACCCUAAGAUGCCGCCAAUGGUACUUAAUGGAAAAUUCCAGAGCCAACACAAAUCCAAAUAACUAGACCUCUCAAAAACCGAAUUUUGACCCAAGUUGCAAGAAAAACAACCCAAAAAAAUCCUCGAUAUUCAUGAAAAAUACUACCACAAGCAGCUAAGCCAUACAACUGAACCAACCUUAUUUACCUUAACAAAAGGCAAAGUGGGAGCUUUUCAAACGACAAUAAUAAUAGCAGCAACAAUGGUAUGAAUAGAGUAAACAACAGCCGAAAAUAUCAUGAAUUUGAGAACAGCAUGUAAGACCCGUAAUUUUGAUGCGACUAAAUUUAGGGCUUUGUAUUUGUUUUGAUGUUUUUUUUUUUGUUAAUAAAUGAGUUUAUGAAAUGUCUUGACGUUGUCGGAAUUCCAAAAUUUGUUUUCUAUUGAUUUUGAGAAAACAUGUUGGAAGUAUUUGUUGUUUAAAUUUUGAAUGGACCAAGAGCGUCAUGAAAAUUUAAACAAGAGUUUUACACAUUGCUCGUAUGGGUAGAUGAUCUCAUUAUAUUUCUCCAAAUUUUUGAAACAAGAUUUUUGUUGGAAAGUUAUUUUGAUUUCAAAACCAUUACUUGAAAUGAGAAACUCGUUGAGCAAUUUAACUACGUGAGAUCUAGAAUUGAUUCACAUAUGCCGUUUGCUACUCUGUGUGACUGAUUUUGACAUUCAGAAUGUUUGUUAGGCAUGAAAAUGUAAUAUCCCGCAUGUGAGAUUAAGUCACAUAUCGAUACAAGUUAUUUUAUCCUUGGAACUUUCAUGAUCGAAUUAUAUGAUUACAACGGAUUACGGAGAAUGAAAUAUGCCGCUUAAAGUUUUUACAGUAUUUUUUUUAUCAGAUAAAUUAAGUUAAGAAGACCUAGAAGGGGUAAAAUGGUCAUUUCCCAUAAGUGGGGUAUAUAUAAGACAAAAUAUCCAAAAAAGUUUCCACACUUUUCUACCACAUUCUCUCACCCAAAAUCAGAUUUUUCUUCCUCCUUCUCCUAACAUCACGCUAUCUCCCUCUUUCUCAUGCUAUCCACCAAAAAUCAGCACUUCACCAUGGAAUCAUCAUGCUUAUGUGUUUUGCUUGAGUUAUGGAAGAAGUAGAACCUCUAAACAACUUGUUCUCUCAUUCUUCCUCUCCUAAGAAGUUCAUUCAAGUGAUCCUAGCAUGGUUUGAAGAAGUUAGAGCUAAGAUGGUGAUCAUGUAAAGAGAAUUGAAGUUUGUGUUGUAUUUUGAGCUAGAGGCAAGCUUGAGCAAGAUUAAGGCAAGACACCAAGAGCUAGGGUUUGGCUUGGCAAGAAGAUAGAGGCAGGGGCUGAAUGUUGAAACUGAAUGUAAGUAUAAGUGAUUAAUAGCUUAAAUUGAGGUAAAAGUGAUUAUUUUGAGAAGAAAUUUAAGUUAUGUUGAUUCAUUAGAAGUAUAAGCUGUUAUUUCAUUUGGCAUUCUGUGAUGACUCUGUUUUUGGGCUGUUAGUAGUAUCAAUUUUGCUGUUGUUGCUGUUCGGAAUGAAAAGCUAGCAGUUAAAAGUCAUAAGUUGUUCCAAAAGCUAUCAGAAUUGAUUAUUGAGUUAAAACAAGUUAGAAUUUCAAUAUAAGUGUCUUAGGAGAUGUGUAAACAUGUUUGCUUUGAUUCUGGAAAAUUUGAAUUGAAAUGGAAUUGUUUAAAGGUCAUAAGCUGUCAGUUAAGCUGUUGAUUAAGUUGCUGUAACAGUGGUUCAUAGAGAUGAUUAUACAUGUUGGAACUGUUUUGUUGAAGGUUGGGUCGAAAUUGAUAUGACAAAAGUCAUAAGUUGCUAUUUAAUUCGUUUGGAUAAUAGCUUAAAUUAGAAUUUAAGUUGUUUCAGGUAUUAUCUUGUGAAGACCAGCUUAGGAGAGAUAUGUUGAAUUGGUAUAUGAGUAAUGGAAAUAUUAUAAGCUGUUCUAGUAAUGGUAAUUAAGCUGUUUUAGAAGUACUGAAUUCUGGUGCAGGGACUGAAAUGGGAAUUUUUCUAUAUGCUGAUCGAUGAAAUAGGAGUAUGUCACAAGUGGCACUACUACACAUAUGUGUUUUAGUAACAUUCAUCUUGCAACACUUGUUUAAUAGUUACUAAUAUAGAGAUUUUUCUUAACAUUUUUUAGUAAGUGUUACAUUAGUGUCACUCUUUUUCGGUGGUGUUUAUAUCAAAACACAUUCAUAUUCUACUGAAACAAAAAAAACAAAAAACAUUUCAACUCUUUUAACACACACACACACUCUCUCUCUCUCUCUCUCUCGUCUUCGAGCUAACCAGAAGCAAACGUUCGAACAUGGCCGCAAAGCUAAAUGUGCGAUUACAAUCACAGGUGAAUUCACAAUUCUUCAAUUCCGAAUUCAAUUUCAUCUUCGAUUUCGAAAUUGAUUUUCAACUUCGAUUUCGUAUUUCAUUCAUCUUCGAUUUUAUUUGAUUUCGUCUUUGAUUCUGUAUACGAAUUCAUCUUUCUGUAUUCAAUUUCAUCUUCCAUUUCGUAUUUGAUUUCAUCUUCGAUUAUGUAUUUGUUUUCAUUUUUGGUUUCGCAUCUCCUUGCUUAUUUUUCUUUCACUUUGGUUUUACACGUUGAAAAGAUGGUUGAGAUGAAGUGUGAGUUUUGUAUUGUGUUGGUUUUUGUUUUGAUUUUGCUUUUGUUGUGCUUCAUGGUAGAAUGCUUGUUUUGUGUUUGAUAAAAUGCUGCAACCAAACUUUAUGACACAAUGCCUGUUUUCUGUUUGAUAAAAUGCUUCAAUCAACCUUUUAUGGUACAGUGCUUAAUGUUUGUCUGAUAAAAUGCUUGAACCAAAUUUUAUUUACUUCUCUAAUCUCAGAAAUGUGAUUCUCCUGCAUCUAUGCUCUUAAAAAUGUUUUUCGAUUCUGCAAAAUGAACAGAAUUGUUUGUUCGGAAUGCGAUUAUGUGUAAAUUUUAGAUUCGAUCUUAACUAAAAUGUUGGAAACUUAGGAUUGAAGAAAUGGAUAUUAGUUCCUCAAUGAUACAGAAGUCGGUCUGUUUCCCGUCACGCACAACCAAACUAUUGCUGCUUUAGCUCCGACUGUGGGUGGCUAUCAGAGCUAUUAGAAACCUGUAAUAGUGCAAAAG
rnacentral:lncRNA from 1 species